UACGGAGGGUCCAAGCGUUGUCCGGAAUCACUGGGCGUAAAGGGUGUGCAGGUGGGGCAGCAAGUCAGAGGUGAAAGCCCGCGGCUUAACCGCGGAAGUGCCUUUGAAACUGUUGCUCUUGAGUCCCGGAGAGGUUGCCGGAAUUCGUGGUGUAGCGGUGAAAUGCGUAGAUAUCACGAGGAACACCAGAGGCGAAAGCGGGCAACUGGACGGGUACUGACACUGAGGCACGAAAGCGUGGGGAGCAAACAGG
rnacentral:rRNA from 1 species